rnacentral:tRNA from 1 species
UAGCUCAGUCAGUUGAGCGUAGCGCUAACAAUGCUAAGGUUGUGGGUUUGAUUCCUGU